AUUGAACGCUGGCGGCAGGCCUAACACAUGCAAGUCGAACGAGUGGCGGACGGGUGCUUAAUGGCUGGGACACUGCCUGCUGGAGGGGGAUAACUACUGGAAACGGUAGCUAAUACCGCAUACCAUCGGAUGUGCCCAGAUGGGAUUAGCUAGUCGGUGGGGUAACGGCUCACCUAGGCGACGAUCCCUAGCUGGUCUGAGAGGAUGACCAGCAACACUGGAACGGAGAAACGGUCCAGACUCCUACGGGAGGCAGCAGUGGGGAAUAGUGCACAAUGGGCGCAAGCCUGAUGCAGCCAUGCCGCGUGUAUGAAGAAGGCCGUCGGGUUGUAAAGUACUUUCAGCGGGGAGGCGUUACCCGCAGAAGAAGCACCGGCUAACUCCGUGCCAGCAGCCGCGGUAAUAC
rnacentral:rRNA from 1 species